rnacentral:rRNA from 1 species
CCUACGGGAGGCAGCAGUGGGGAAUAUUGCACGAUGGGGGAAACCCUGAUGCAGCGACGCCGCGUGAGUGAAGAAGUAAUUCGUUAUGUAAAGCUCUAUCAGCAGGGAAGAAAAUGACGGUACCUGAGUAAGAAGCCCCGGCUAACUACGUGCCAGCAGCCGCGGUUAUACGUAGGGGGCAAGCGUUAUCCGGAUUUUCGGGGUGUAAAGGGAGCGUAGACGGGAGUGCAAGUCUGGAGUGAAAGGCGGGGGCUCAACCCCCGGGCAGGUGUGGAAACUGUACGGCUGGAGUGCAGGAGAGGUAAGUGGAAUUCGUAGUGUAGCGGUGAAAUGCGUAGAUAUUAGGAGGAACACCAGUGGCGAAGGCGGCUUACUGGAGUGUAACUGACGUUGAGGCACGAAAGCGUGGGGAGCAAACAGGAUUAGAUACCCGUGUAGUC